rnacentral:tRNA from 1 species
GGGCGAUUAGCUCAGUUGGCUAGAGCGCCAGUUCGACACACUGGAGGUCACAGGUUCGAGCCCUGUAUCGCCCA